rnacentral:rRNA from 1 species
UACGUAGGGAGCAAGCGUUGUCCGGAAUCAUUGGGCGUAAAGCGCGCGUAGGUGGUCCCGUAAGUCCGCUGUGAAAGUCAAAGGCUCAACCUUUGAAAGCCGGUGGAUACUGUGGGACUAGAGUACGGAAGAGGCGAGUGGAAUUCCCGGUGUAGCGGUGAAAUGCGCAGAUAUCGGGAGGAACACCUAUGGCGAAGGCAGCUCGCUGGGACGUUACUGACGCUGAGACGCGAAAGCGUGGGGAGCAAACAGG